UUUUGUUUACAUUUUUACGCUGAUGGUUAGUUAAAUUGGCGUAGAAGCAUUGAUCCGAGAGGCAGAUCGCAUAGAUGGAGGCAUCAUCAGAGUCACAUAGAAACAAUCCCAACCCUAACCCUAAUCUGAAUUUGCUGUCGUCAUCGGUGCCGGUGUGGCCAACGAUCGAUGGGCCUCUUGGGCUUUCCGAGGAAGACUCAGUGGGCUACGCUCGCAGAUUCUACAAGUUCGGCUUCGCUCUUCUUCCUCUCCUCUGGGCCAUCAAUUGCUUCUACUUCUGGCCCGUUCUUCGCCACUCCCACUCCUUCCCUCGCAUUCGUCCCUAUGUUGUUGGAUCGGCCGUUGGGUUUAUUGUAUUCACGGCACUUCUCUCUUCGUGGGCUCUGACAUUUGCCAUUGGAGGGGAACGUCUCUUCGGCCCUGUUUGGGAUCAAUUGGUUAUGUACAAUCUUGCUGAUAAGUUGGGCUUAACAAGCUGGAGCUAGUUGUGUGCCACUUCUGGGUUUGAUCCUGAUAGAAAUAAUUUGAUCUUUUAUUUACCAGUACAGUUGAUAGAUAAAAAGCAAGGUUUUGGAAGAGUAUAGUUCUCGGUAUCUUUACUACAUUUUUUUCGGGGGGGUUGGGUUGUGUAAGAUACAGAAUAAGAAAUUAAUAAAUAGUUUUU